GGAGUGCAGCUGAAAUGACCGCUACUGCUCCUUCACAGUAUAUUUACAUGAGCUUCCUGUGGACAUCAGCACCAUUUAAAAUUAAGGGCCUCAUUCUCUCAUCCAGGCUGGACUGCAGUGGCGUGAUCUCAGCUCACUGCAACUUCUGCCUCCCGAGCUCAAGUGAUCCUUCCACCUCGGCCUCCCCAGUACCCAAGACUACAGGCACACACCACCACGCCUGGCUAAUUUUUGUAUUUUUUGUAGAGAUGGGGUUGCAUCAUGUUGCCCAGGCUGGUCUUGAACUCCUAAGCUCAAGCAGUCUGCCCUGCCUUGGCCUCCCAAAGUGCUGGGAUUACAGGCUGGAACACAGAUGUGGGGCUGGAAGUGGAGCAGCCCCUUUUAGCCAUGAGGCCCAAAGCCACAUGCUAAGGAUGGUGAAGCAGGGGAUAGAAAGAGCCUGUGUCUUUGCUGACUUCCUUAAGCCACGGCACCAGCCUGGGCCUGCCCUACUCUGGACAUCUAAAUGUCAGGAGCUAAGAAUCAAGUCAGUCUAGAGGUGUUCGUUGCCAUGUGGAGAGAUCCUUCCCAAGAAGAAAGAUGCUACAAAGUGUCCUGGAAAUCCUCUUUGCCCAUCCAGAUCCACCCUCCCUAGCCUGCUCUGUACCUCAGGAAGCUGCUUUUCAUGGUUCACAUAAACCAGGCUCCUGUACCCUCCAGAUAGGUCCAUCCUAUGGGUGGUACCAGCAGGAGACCAGAGAGAUGAAGGAGGGAAAAAAAGAACAUUAGGGGUUGAAUUGUAUCACCCCAAAAUUCAUAUGGUGAAGUAUAACCCCUUCGGAAUGUAACCUUAUUGGAAAUGUCAGAGGCACGUGAACCAGAGCAACUCCAUCUUGAAUAGGGGCUGGGUAAAAUGAGGCUGAGACCUAUUGGGCUGCAUUCCCAGACGGUUAAGGCAUUCCAAGUCACAGGAUGAGAUAGGAGGUUGGCACAACAUAUAGGUCAUAAAGACCUUGCUGAUGAAACAGUUGCAGUAAAGAAGCCAGUCAAAGCGCACCAAAACCAAGAUGGCGACAAGAGUGACCUCUGGGCAUCCUCACUGCUACACUCCCAGCAGCACCAUGACAGUUUACAAAUGCCAUGGCAACAUCAGAAAGUUACCCUAGAUCAUCUAAACAUGGGAGGCAUGAAUAAUCCACCCCUUGCUUAGCAUAUACUCAAGAAAUAACCAUAAAAAUGGGCAGCCAGCAGCCCUCGGGGCUGCUCUGUUUAUGGAGUAGGCAUUCUUUUAUUCCUGCACUUUCCUAAUAAACUUGCUUUCA
rnacentral:lncRNA from 1 species